GUCUGAGGUUCCUGGAGAACAGCUGGUAUGGUUAUGAUCUCUGCCCUGCUACCUGGAACUACAUCUUCAGCCUGGAUCUUCUGUGUGCACAACUGGGCUGGACUUGGACCAUUACCAAUAUUAUACGGGGUGCUGUAGUCAUGGCUGACCCAGUGCUCUGCCCCCGGCUUUCUAUCAUCACUGGGGAAGGAUCUUUGGCUGAUCCUGAACACUUGGCUGAGGCAAGCAAGAACAGAGCAAACACCGUUCCGAGACGUCUGUGUAGCAGCAGUUUUCAGGCUACUUGGGCGACUUGGUCAACUAGGACUUAAGGAGAACAUGCUAACGUC